AUUGAACGCUGGCGGCAGGUCUAACACAUGCAAGUCGAGCGGAGCGGCGGACGGGGGAGUAAUGCCUAGGAAUCUGCCUGGCAGUUGGGGAUAACGUCCGGAAACGGGCGCUAAUACCGCAUACUAUCAGAUGAGCCUCGGUCGGAUGUGCUAGUUGGUGGGGUAAAGGCAGACCAAGGCGACGAUCCGUAACUGGUCUGAGAGGAUGACCAGUCACACUGGAACUGAGACACGGUCCAGACUCCUAAAGGAGGCAGAAGUGGGGAAUAUUGGACAAUGGGCGAAAGGCUGAUCCAGCCAUGCCGCGUGUGUGAAGAAGGUCUUCGGAUUGUAAAGCACUUUAAGUUGGGAGGCGUUACCAACAAAAUAAGCACCGGCUAACUACGUGACAGCCGCCGCGGUAAUUC
rnacentral:rRNA from 1 species